AAUAAAAUCCAGCUGCAUCAGGCAUGGAUCUGAGCUUGGAGGAAAUGUAGACCUCAUGUAUGUCCUCACUGAUUGUAGCAUGCUGAAGGCUUCUCCAGAAGCCUUACAGGUUUCACAUGCUUUCUUGAGUUGUUUUUAGUACUUCUGGUGGAAGUUAGCAAUGACAGAUAUCUUUCCAGCUUUUCCCUUCCCUGUCCUCCUGCAAAAGAUGUAUAGCAAUGGCAGGCAUACUACACUCUGCUAAGCCUGUUACAUAUAUUUUAAUGUUCAAAUUACUGGCUGAGGUAGGAAUAGCACAAGUGCCAAGAGGGGAAUAGCAUGCAUGACAGCAAUGGGCCGUGAAGGAAGAAGCCUGAGGGACUGUGAGCAGUAGCAGGCAAGAAUAUUCUGAGGCACGAAGUGGUAGCUUGCUGAGUGUGAACUCUGGGCAGAGAGUGGUGAAACAGGACUGGGGUGAGGAGUCUGAAGAUAUGAGCAGAAAAAAGGGAAUGAGAGCGCAGUAAUUGCUGGGAUAGGUAGGGGUCCCCACCCUCUGGAGCUUCUCCUGACAACUGCAUGUUUUUUCUUGCUUCAGAGCCUAACACGAAUGGUAACUAUGUGGUCCUUCUAUUACAGAAAUAUAUUUUAUGUUUAACUGAUAUUGUCUAGAAAGUGCAGUACAGAUAGACAUCACAACUCUUAGAACAGUAGGGACUAAGCAUAUAAUGUUGCAUGCAAGACAUAAAUAAUAGAGUAAUCUCCCUUUGUAAGGGAGAAGGGAUUUAAACAAAGAAUAUGAAUUCAUUUCUCCUAUAUUGACAGCAAUAUCUUAAAAAAUGGAUGCCCAACCUUUUGCCUUGUGGAGUGGAAUUGUCUUGACCUGCAUAUAAAAUUUACAAAAUAGUUAACGUACAUAAGUAACAUUUCUUUUUUUAAAAAAUAUAUUUUUAUUAAAACUUGGUGAAAAAAAAAGAGGGCAACAAAAGCAUAAAACUAAUGGGUUGGACACAUAUGCCAUUAAAUGAGCCCAGGACUCACAGCAAUGACAGUCAUGUGCUGUUACUACAUUAUGAGGUAUGCUGGAUACAGGGUGAAAUAAUAUGUGAGAAUGGACUAAACCUUGACAUUUCCAUGACUUCAGAGACAAGUAUGAACAAAAGGUGUGAUAUGCCAUGUGUUUCUACAAUUGCAAAUAUAACUCAUUUUGAUGACGGCUCAGACUGUGGCAGUGAAAUAGCUUCAAUC
ensembl:lncRNA